rnacentral:rRNA from 1 species
CCUACGGGCGGCUGCAGUGGGGAAUCUUCCACAAUGGGCGAAAGCCUGAUGGAGCAACGCCGCGUGAGUGAUGAAGGCCUUCGGGUUGUAAAACUCUGUCUUGCGAGAAUAAGGCUGCAAGGUGAACAAUCUUGCAGCUUGACUGUAUCGCAGGAGGAAGACACGGCUAACUCUGUGCCAGCAGCCGCGGUAAUACAGAGGUGACAAGCGUUGUCCGGAAUUACUGGGCGUAAAGGGCGAGUAGGCGGGUGAAAUCGCCGGGCUUAACCCGACAAUUGCAUCCGAGACUGUGUGUCUCGAGUGCAGAAGAGGAGAGUGGAAUUCCCAGUGUAGCGGUGAAAUGCGUAGAUAUUGGGAGGAACACCAGUGGCGAAGGCGGCUCUCUGGUCUGCAACUGACGCUGAAACGCGAAAGCUAGGGGAGCAAACGGGAUUAGAUACCCUGGUAGUC